AGGCGCUCUGGAUCGCGAAGAUCAGCGGCUGCGAGACGCUGGUGAGCGCGAGGCGCUUGUCGAGGUCCUCGGCCUCGAGCGCCUCC
rnacentral:tRNA from 1 species